rnacentral:rRNA from 1 species
UACGUAGGAGACGAGCGUUGUCCGGAAUUACUGGGCGUAAAGCGCGUGUAGGCGGAUGAGCAAGUCUGCUGUGAAAGCUCCUGGCUUAACCGGGAGUGGUCGGUGGAAACUGCUCGUCUGGAGGACGGUAGAGGUAGGUAGAAUUCCCGGUGUAGUGGUGAAAUGCGUAGAGAUCGGGAGGAAUACCCGUGGCGAAGGCGGCCCUCUGGCUCGACCCUGACGCUGAGAGGCGAAAGCGUGGGGAGCGAACGGG